rnacentral:tRNA from 1 species
AGUAGCUAAGUGGUAGAGCAAUCGGCUGUUAACCGAUCGGUCGUAGGUUCGAACCCUACCU